rnacentral:rRNA from 1 species
GAUGAACGCUGGCGGCGUGCCUAAUACAUGCAAGUCGAGCGAACAGACGAGGAGCUUGCUCCUCUGACGUUAGCGGCGGACGGGUGAGUAACACGUGGAUAACCUACCUAUAAUACUGGGAUAACUUCGGGAAACCGGAGCUAAUACCGGAUAAUAUAUUGAACCGCAUGGUUCAAUAGUGAAAGACGGUUUUGCUGUCACUUAUAGAUGGAUCCGCGCCGCAUUAGCUAGUUGGUAAGGUAACGGCUUACCAAGGCGACGAUGCGUAGCCGACCUGAGAGGGUGAUCGGCCACACUGGAACGGAGACACGGUCCAGACUCCUACGGGAGGAAGCAGUAGGGAAUAUUCCGAAAUGGGCGAAAGCCUGACGGAGCAACGCCGCGUGAGAGAUGAAGGUCUUCGGAUCGUAAAACUCUGUUAUUAGGGAAGAACAAAUGUGUAAGUAACUAUGCACGUCUUGACGGUACCUAAUCAGAAAGCCACGGCUAACUACGUG